UGGGGAAUUUUGCACAAUGGGCGCAAGCCUGAUGCAGCGACGCCGCGUGAGGGAUGAAGGCCUUCGGGUUGUAAACCUUUUUCGCUCAUGGUCAAGCCGCAGCUUUGGGUUGUGGUGAGGGUAGUGGGUAAAGAAGCGCCGGCUAACUACGUGCCAGCAGCCACGGUAAUACGUAGGGCGCGAGCGUUGUCCGGAAUUAUUGGGCGUAAAGGGCUUGUAGGCGGUUGGCCGCGUCUGCCGUGAAAUCCUCUGGCUUAACUGGGGGCGUGGGGUGGGUACGGGUUGGAUUGAGUGCGGUAAGGGAGACUGGAAUUCCUGGUGGAGGGGUGGAAUGCGCAGAUAUCAGGAGGAACACCGGUGGGGAAGGCGGGUCUCUGGGCCGUUACUGACGCUGGGGAGCGAAAGCGUGGGGAGCGAACAGG
rnacentral:rRNA from 1 species